rnacentral:rRNA from 1 species
GACGAACGCUGGCGGCGUGCUUAACACAUGCAAGUCGAACGGAAAGGCCCUGCUUUUGUGGGGUGCUCGAGUGGCGAACGGGUGAGUAACACGUGAGUAACCUGCCCUUGACUUUGGGAUAACUUCAGGAAACUGGGGCUAAUACCGGAUAGUAGCUCCUGCUGCAUGGUGGGGGUUGGAAAGUUUCGGCGGUUGGGGAUGGACUCGCGGCUUAUCAGCUUGUUGGUGGGGUAGUGGCUUACCAAGGCUUUGACGGGUAGCCGGCCUGAGAGGGUGACCGGCCACAUUGGGACUGAGAUACGGCCCAGACUGCUACGGGAGGCAGCAGUGGGGAAUAUUGCACAAUGGGCGGAAGCCUGAUGCAGCAACGCCGCGUGCGGGAUGACGGCCUUCGGGUUGUAAACCGCUUUCGCCUGUGACGAAGCGUGAGUGACGGUAAUGGGUAAAGAAGCACCGGCUAACUACGUG